UACGUAGGGUGCGAGCGUUGUCCGGAAUUAUUGGGCGUAAAGAGCUCGUAGGCGGUUUGUCGCGUCGACUGUGAAAACCUGGGGCUUAACUCUGGGCCUGCAGUCGAUACGGGCAGACUUGAGUUCGGUAGGGGAGACUGGAAUUCCUGGUGUAGCGGUGAAAUGCGCAGAUAUCAGGAGGAACACCAGUGGCGAAGGCGGCCAUCUGGCUCGGUACUGACGCUCAGGCGCGAAAGCGUGGGGAGCAAACAGG
rnacentral:rRNA from 1 species